rnacentral:rRNA from 1 species
GACAAUCUGGCCAAUUGAAAAUAAAGGAAGCUGCGCUAUACAUGCAAGUCGAGCGGACAGAUGGGAGCUUGCUCCCUGAUGUUAGCGGCGGACGGGUGCAGUAACACGUGGGUAACCUGCCUGUAAGACUGGGAUAACUCCGGGAAACCGGGGCUAAUACCGGAUGGUUGUUUGAACCGCAUGGUUCAAACAUAAAAGGUGGCUUCGGCUACCACUUACAGAUGGACCCGCGGCGCAUUAGCUAGUUGGUGAGGUAACGGCUCACCAAGGCGACGAUGCGUAGCCGACCUGAGAGGGUGAUCGGCCACACUGGGACUGAGACACGGCCCAGACUCCUGCUAAGCCGACUGGAAGCGUGAUCGGCACUAGACUGGAACUGGUCUGAUCUUACCGGAGGCAUGCAGUAGAAUCCCGCAAUGACCGAAAGUCCGAACGAGCCACGUCGCGUGAAGUGAUGAGUUUUCGAAUCGUAAGCUUCUGUUGUUAGGGAAGAACAAGUACGUUCGAUAGGGCGGUACUUGACGGUACUACAGAAGCACGGCUACUACGUGGCCAGCAGCGCGUAAUACGUAGGUGGCAAGCGUUGUUCCGGAAUUAUGGGCGGUAAAGGGCUCGCAAGGCGGUUUCUUAAGUCCUGAUGUGAAAGCCCCGGGCUCAACCCGGGGAGGGUCAUUGGAAACUGGGGAACUUGAGUGCAGAAGAGGAGAGUGGAAUUCCACGUGUAGCGGUGAAAUGCGUAGAGAUGUGGAGGAACACCAGUGGCGAAGGCGACUCUCUGGUCUGUAACUGACGCUGAGGAGCGAAAGCGUGGGGAGCGAACAGGAUUAGAUACCCUGGUAGUCCACGCCGUAAACGAUGAGUGCUAAGUGUUAGGGGGUUUCCGCCCCUUAGUGCUGCAGCUAACGCAUUAAGCACUCCGCCUGGGGAGUACGGUCGCAAGACUGAAACUCAAAGGAAUUGACGGGGGCCCGCACAAGCGGUGGAGCAUGUGGUUUAAUUCGAAGCAACGCGAAGAACCUUACCAGGUCUUGACAUCCUCUGACAAUCCUAGAGAUAGGACGUCCCCUUCGGGGGCAGAGUGACAGGUGGUGCAUGGUUGUCGUCAGCUCGUGUCGUGAGAUGUUGGGUUAAGUCCCGCAACGAGCGCAACCCUUGAUCUUAGUUGCCAGCAUUCAGUUGGGCACUCUAAGGUGACUGCCGGUGACAAACCGGAGGAAGGUGGGGAUGACGUCAAAUCAUCAUGCCCCUUAUGACCUGGGCUACACACGUGCUACAAUGGACAGAACAAAGGGCAGCGAAACCGCGAGGUUAAGCCAAUCCCACAAAUCUGUUCUCAGUUCGGAUCGCAGUCUGCAACUCGACUGCGUGAAGCUGGAAUCGCUAGUAAUCGCGGAUCAGCAUGCCGCGGUGAAUACGUUCCCGGGCCUUGUACACACCGCCCGUCACACCACGAGAGUUUGUAACACCCGAAGUCGGUGAGGUAACCUUUUAGGAGCCAGCCGCCGAAGGUGGGACAGAUGAUUGGGGUGAAGUCGAACAAGAGCGCCAAAAAAAAGUACAUCCGCC